CACCUUGUCUUUUUUCCUAACCUCAUGCAGACAUGAAGGAAACUAUAUCCUGGGAAAAUGGAAGAUGGCAACACAUUAGUGAAAAUGUCAUUGGAAAGGUGCACUGCCCCAGAGCUAUGUUGCUGAAAUUUCUAAGCCUUUCUUUAAUAGCCUUCUUGGGUCCCUAAGCAGGGAGGUUUUGGAUGAAUUCUCCCCAGCCGUGGUAUGCCAUUGUCUGAUUCUUCCAGCCAAAAUUUACAACAACAAAUAAAAAACAGUGGAUCCUUACGAGAAAUUUUUUCCUGGGAAAGCCAUAU
rnacentral:lncRNA from 1 species